UACGAAGGGGGGCUAGCGUUGCUCGGAAUUACUGGGCGUAAAGGGCGCGUAGGCGGAUAUUUAAGUUAGAGGUGAAAGCCCAGGGCUCAACCCUGGAAUAGCCUUUAAUACUGGAUAUCUUGAGUUCGGGAGAGGUGAGUGGAACUCCGAGUGUAGAGGUGAAAUUCGUAGAUAUUCGGAAGAACACCAGUGGCGAAGGCGACUCACUGGCCCGAUAUCUGACGCUGAGGCGCGAAAGCGUGGGGAGCAAACAGG
rnacentral:rRNA from 1 species